CUCCUACAUUUGUUUCUUCUGACCAACCACAUCUUGCCAUGCCAUUUAGGGUUUCAUUUCAUUUUAGGGUUCAAUUAGGGUUCAAUCCUCUUCAUUACAUUCAUUCAAAUAAUUCUUUGCCAGAUGUCUCAUGUGGACCUCUCCUAUAACUGCUGGUUUAUGCAAACAACAGGUAUUGCUGGUUUAUGCAAACAACUGGUAUUGCUGAUUUAUGCAAACAAUUGGCACAAGUGGUUUAUGGAAACAAUUGUGGUUUUAAGAUUGCUUUCCCAAUUUUUGUUCAUUUGUGGAGUUUUUUUUCUCUCUCUUCCCCCUCUCUCUCUCGUACGCUCUAGCUCUUUCUCACCUUCCUCUCACACUUUCAUCUCUCUUUCUCUCUGCACUCUCCAUCUCAUCCUUCACCAUAACAUCCACACAACAACCUCCACCACCAUCUAUGAAAUUGAGGCAAUGAAAUGAUGAAAUCGGUAAACAAUUUUGAAUUUUUAUGAAAAAAUGUUGAAAAUUGAUGGAUUAGGGUUUGGUUGAUUUAGGGAUCAAGACCAAGGCAGCGAUAGUGCCAACCUUGCAUGCAAGAAGCGAAGGAGAAAAGAAGAGCGCUCGCCGUUGUUGAAGGUGAAAGGGAGCGCAUGAAAUCGAAGAGGAAAAGGGUUUCUACCAUUCACGAAGAAGAUGAAGAUCUGAGGGAAAUUGGGAAGAAAGAGUUUGGGAAGAAAAGAAAGGAAGGAAAGGGAAAUAUGGCCGAGUGAGAAAAUAUUUGCCGGCGGGAGAGAAGUUCCGGCGAGGAGGAGGAGUUCCGGCCGAGAGAGUUCUUGUGGCGGUUUGUGUAGGGUUGGGCAUUAAGGUUGCAAUCAAGUCGGUAUUUAUGAUCGCACCGCCGGCACAAUAGUUCCAGUGCUUUUGGUUUGCUGUUCACUUCUAUGUGGAAAAAGGUAACAAAUCUAUUCCUUUAUGAUAUGUUUGAUGUGUAGAAAAAGGUUAGAAAUUUAUUUUCUUCAAUUGUUUAUGAUUCUCAUCAUAUUAAAAGGUAGGAAAUUCAAAAUUGUUUUGAAUUCAUAACUAACUUGAUGGUUGGUGUCUUUGCAGGUAUAACACAUUUGUUUUACUCAUACUGGACUUAUUCCAUAUUGAGUUUUGUUCCUUAUUUUUUAUUUUGUUCCUUUUUUAGUUUGUAAAUGUUAUUGUUUUCCCUUUUUAUCCUCUCAUUUUGUCCUUUCUUAAGGUAAUUUUCAGAGAUUGUUUUAUACUAUAGCAGAUUUUUGUUUAUACUAUUUAUUUGUAGAAAUUGGUUUAUACUAUAGCAGGUUUUGAAGACUAUAACAGAUAAAGUGGGCACUGAUGGUUUCUUUCAUAAUUGAAUGGGCAAUUAUCACAUCAAUGAAUUCACGGGGCUGUGCAACUACACUUUAAGGAAUGAAAUAGGAGUGACAAUUUUGGUUGCUAGAGGCUAGCUAACAAAUGAAAGAAUGGUUGCAUUGCUCUGUUGAUGCUUGCAAGAUGCAGUAAAGAAAAGAAUACAAGUUUAUAAAAAAUGCUAUGAAAGAGUUUGAGAAAAAUGGCAAGAUAAGUAAGGUCAUGGAUGCCACCCUUGAAGAUUUGGAAGGGAAUAUGAUACACUGUACUUUAUGGGAUGAUCAUGCUGUGAAAAUGCAGCAAUUUUCGGAUAAUCAGGACCCAUCACUCGCUGUAAUAGUUAUCCUUCAGCUGUGCAAACUUAAGAAGUAUCUUGGUUCCAUGGGAGUUUCAUGUUGAAGCUGCACAAGAAAUUGAUCAAUCUCAAGGUUCAUGUGUGCAUAAUAUACUUAGCCGCGUUCACACUUUCCAUAUGGAAUAUGAUCCUCAUAGUGUAAGCCUUUUUUAAUUUCCUUUCCUCUCUAUGUCUAUAUAAAAGAUUGGUUUCUGUUUUGUGUUUAGGCAAUUUAGUGGCAAAUAUUAGAUUCAUGUUUUGUACAAAAAAAUCAUGGUUUGGACUGAUUUUUCCAGCACUGCAUGCUAUUUUAUUGUGCUAUCUUUUGAUGCUUUUAUAUUGCAAUGGAAACAAAUCAUCAUGUCCAGAGUGUGUACACAUCUACAUAUCCAUGGCCAAUCAAAAAAUUAACAUACAUCCAUGGAUGCAGGAAGCAGGUGGGCAAACUUAUUGUCAUACAUAAUUUUUGUUUUUCCCAAAAUACAUGACUUAUUUUAAUCACUUUGUCUACAUUGAUUGAUUGUGAUUAACAUUAUGAAUUUGCUAAUGCAUUCCAAUAUAUGCAUACGAAUUUAACAUAUGAAUAUAUGCAUUUGACGCCAUGUUUCUGCAUUUGUUUAUUUUGUAUCAUGAACUAUGAUAGAUCACAUUUCUUCUUUUUUUGGUGUAUAUGAGCACUUGGUUUAUGUCAAUUUUUUUUUUGGUUCACUGCAGACAUUAGCCAAACUACCUCAAUGUUUUGUUCGCGAUUUCGGGGACUUAAUUGAUGCAUAUUAUAAAAAAUUCUAAUGACAUAUGUACUUUGAUCGAGGGUGGUUGGUUCUUAGAAAUAUUUAUGACAUAUGGCUUAGUGUUUGGCUUAGCUUUACUUAUGUUAAUCCUAACUCCCCUUAGGCAUUUGUUGACUAGAACUGAUAGUGAUCCUAAACUUGGCUCAUUCACAUUGCUCAGAUCCUGUAAUGGUCAUGUACUGCCAAGAUCAUUUGUUCUUUAGUACCUCAAAAAAUUGACGGCUUAUGAUGUUGAAUCUCGAUUUUUGGUUUCGCCUUGGUAUGGAUUUGGUGAAUCUGCCUUCACAUUUACUUUUUCCGACUUGGUGUUGGUAGAUCAUAUUGGUGCUAGGUAUCCAUGUAGCAUAAAUGUUGGCGUUGAUGCUCAGGGUGAACUUGCUUGCAAGGUGUUUGGCGGUUGGGCGCAUUUAUGCAGAGGACAUCGCUUGGUCCAGGGUGACAAAGUUCGUUUUGUUCUUAAUGAACCUGCCGGUAAUUAUGUCAUGUAUGUCUGUGUUUAUCCUCAGAUAGGGAUAGAAACCACCCUUAGUUAUCCAUUGAAUGAUGGCUCUUAUUUGCCUUUGUAUGUCUCCCAACAGUAUUUUGUGGCUUACUCUUGACUUGUGUUAGUGUGGUUUGGUCACUUAGCUGUACUUUUUAAUGUAUUAGUGUCUUUGUUUCAAAUAUUUGGUACUCAAUGAAAUGUAUCCAAUCUUCAGUUAAUAACUUAUUACAAAUA